rnacentral:rRNA from 1 species
UGCCAGCCGCCGCGGUAAUACGGAGGGUGCAAACGUUGCUCGGAAUCAUUGGGCGUAAAGCGCACGUGAGGCGGCUUGAUAAGUCGGAUGUGGAAGCCCUAGGCUUAACCAAGGAAGUGCAUUCGAAACUGUCAAGCUUGAGUAUGGGAGAGGAUUGCGGAAUUCCCGGUGUAGAGGUGAAAUUCGUAGAUAUCGGGAGGAACACCAGAGGCGAAGGCGGCAAUCUGGACCAAUACUGACGCUGAGGUACGAAAGUGUGGGGAGCAAACAGGAUUAGAUA